AUGGUACCUCAGCUGGAAUGGAAAUUGUGUCACAGAAUCACAGAAUUGCAGGGAUUGAAAAGGACCUCAAGAGAUCAUAAAGUCCAAGCCCCUUCUAAAGCAGGUUCCCUACAGUAGAUCACACAGGCUGAGGAAGAGCAUGCUGGGCACUUGUACACUGAAAAUCCUUUUGAAUUUUCAGCAGUAACCAUAUUUCUAAAAAUUACACAAGUCUGCAUGCUUUUGUAUGUGUGACAUACUAUUAAUAGAAUAUCUCUGAUCGUGUCCUGUGACUCCAUUCCUGCUAAGAAGAAAUGAAACCCACAGACAGUUCUGUCCUACACACUCUGACCUCUCAAAGGACACAGAUGAGUCACAAGCUUAUGAUGUCUCGCUUCUGAACUGUCUGUUGUUCCAGCAAUUGCAUGGUUAAGAUAAUACAAAAAUAAUACUUGGUGCUGUUCUUCAUGUAUUUGCCAUCCUCCCACAACACCCUGAGGCUGCAAUGAAGAGAACUCUGAAGUGCCUACGGUAUCCAGAGAACAAGGAAACAAUGGAAAAGUCCAUAGCAGAUAUCAUGCAGAUGCUAUCCUGAGCAGCAAUACAUGUACCUCAUUGUUUUGCUUAGGGACACUCAGCAGCAGAUCAUUUCUCACUUCUUUUAGCUACAAACCCUACGUUGAUAAAGAUUUUGUGAAUGUCAAAUGUGCUGCAGUUGUUUCUCCCAGGGCUGCCAAACAUUCCAUCAACAAAUACUGGAAACGGAGUGGCUCUGCUAGGGACAAAAUACAGAAUCAAAUGCUGCAGAAAUCUGGCAGUCCUUUUCUGACUAGAGUCCUUCAUCUUCUGACAGAACUGAUGACUUGGCAGUGUGCUAGACAAUGUGCCAUAUCCCAUGUGAUGAAAGGACGCCAAGGAUCAUCCAUCUCGGUGACACCAGACCUCAUCCCACUGCUUCUAACCAGCUCACAGAAACUGGAGAUUCAACCAAUGGCUAUAUUUUAAUGGAAGUGAACUUGAGAAUAUUACAUAUAAUUUGGACAACUGCAGGGUAUAUGCUUACGUAAGAGAAAUCAAAGGAUUUGCACAAAUGAAUGGCUCAAUAAUCUCAGAGUUAAUUUAUAAUCUGUUAUUGCUUCUUAAAAUAAUUUACAUGCAAACCCAUUUGACAUCAGAUGUAACAGAGCAUAGAGGUCACGCUGGUGUACUUCUCUGUGUGGGUUCUGCUGGAACCCUCUGCUCGUUCUGCAGAAUAGUCCUGCCUUUGCUUUCAAGGGUCCUAUUAUGAAAUAAGUCUGUAGAGUUCAACACCGAAGUUGGUCUGUUUUGGAAGACUUGGAAAAGCCAUCGGCUAAGUAGACUGGUAUUAACAUGCCUUUCACACCUUUGGAACGUCUUAAAUAUUACACAGUAUUGAUGACGUUUUAUCUAUCAUGACUGGAACAGAAAAGAGAGAUCAAAAUAUCAGACUCCUGAUUACAACAGAGGCUUCAGAAU
rnacentral:lncRNA from 7 species